GGUCGAGGUGAUGUAGCGGUUUAUCAAGUCAGCCUUGUUAGCUGGAGACCCGGGUUCGAUUCCCGGCUUCGCCA